rnacentral:sRNA from 1 species
GGUAACCGACCCGACCUCCUGCCCGAUGCCGGGCCAUGGCACCAACCCCAUCGUCAGCGGCUCUCCCGAUGU